CAGUCGAACGGAAGUAAAGAAGGGAAGGGGCAGUUUACUGCCGCGGAACAUUUUUUACUUUAGUGGCGGACGGGUGAGUAACGCGUGGGUAACCUGCCUUAUACAGGGGGAUAACACUUAGAAAUAGGUGCUAAGACCGCAUAAGCGCCCAGGGCCGCAUGGCCCAGGGUGAAAAACUCCGGUGGUAUAAGAUGGGCCCGCGUCUGAUUAGCCAGUUGGCAGGGUAACGGCCUACCAAAGCGACGAUCAGUAGCCGGCCUGAGAGGGUGGACGGCCACAUUGGGACUGAGACACGGCCCAAACUCCUACGGGAGGCAGCAGUGGGGGAUAUUGCACAAUGGGGGAAACCCUGAUGCAGCGACGCCGCGUGAGUGAAGAAGUAUUUCGGUAUGUAAAGCUCUAUCAGCAGGGAAGAAAGAAGACGGUACCUGAGUAAGAAGCCCCGGCUAACUACGUGCCAGCAGCCGCGGUAAUACGUAGGGGGCAAGCGUUAUCCGGAUUUACUGGGUGUAAAGGGAGCGUAGACGGCAAGGCAAGCCUGGAGUGAAAGGCGGGGGCCCAACCCCCGGACUGCUCUGGGAACUGUCUAGCUAGAGUGCAGGAGGGGUAAGUGGAAUUCCUAGUGUAGCGGUGAAAUGCGUAGAUAUUAGGAGGAACACCAGUGGCGAAGGCGGCUUACUGGACUGUAACUGACGUUGAGGCUCGAAAGCGUGGGGAGCAAACAGGAUUAGAUACCCUGGUAGUCCACGCCGUANACGAUGAUCACUAGNUGUCGGGUGUUAAGGAACGCUCGGUGCCGCAGNCAACGCAAUAAGUGNUCCACCUGGGGAGUACGUUCGCAAGAAUGAAACUCAAAGGAAUUGACGGGGA
rnacentral:rRNA from 1 species